UCCUCGAUAGCUCAGUUGGUAGAGCGCACGGCUGUUAACCGUUAGGUCGUAGGUUCGAGUCCUACUCGGGGAG
rnacentral:tRNA from 1 species